UCCCUCUUAGCUCAGUUGGUAGAGCGCGUCACUAGUAUAUACUUAGAGCUUCCAAGCAUCCUAUGACGAGGUCAGUCGUUCAAAUCGGCUAGCGGGAA